rnacentral:rRNA from 1 species
UAGCCAUGCGAGUCGAACGUGCCCCUGCUCGCGGGGAGCGUGGCGUACGGCUCAGUAUCACGUACUCUACCUGUCCCUAGAGACAUGGACAACCCCGGGAAACUGGGAUUAAUCCGUGAUAGGUCAUCUCAUCUGGAAAGAGAGAUGGCUUAAAGGGGUGCAAGAGCUUCUUUCUUGUACUCUCUCUAGGAUGGGACUGCGGCCGAUCAGGCUGUUGGUGGGGUAAUGGCCCACCAAACCUGUAACCGGUACGGGCCUUGAGAGAGGGGGCCCGGAUAUGGACACUGAGAGAAGGGUCCACUUCCUACGGGGCGCAGCAGGCGCGAAACCUUCACAAUGCGCGAAAGCGUGAUGAGGUUAGUCCGAGUGGUCCCCGCUGAGGGGAUCUUUUGUCGGCUCUAAGACGGUCACUGAAUAAGGGGAGGGCACGUCUGGUGUCAGCCGCCGCGGUAA